rnacentral:rRNA from 1 species
GACACGUGGUAUCCUGUCUGAAUAUGGGGGGACCAUCCUCCAAGGCUAAAUACUCCUGACUGACCGAUAGUGAACCAGUACCGUGAGGGAAAGGCGAAAAGAACCCCGGCGAGGGGAGUGAAAAAGAACCUGAAACCGUGUACGUACAAGCAGUGGGAGCACGCUUAGGCGUGUGACUGCGUACCUUUUGUAUAAUGGGUCAGCGACUUAUAUUCUGUAGCAAGGUUAACCGAAUAGGGGAGCCGAAGGGAAACCGAGUCUUAACUGGGCGUUAAGUUGCAGGGUAUAGACCCGAAACCCGGUGAUCUAGCCAUGGGCAGGUUGAAGGUUGGGUAACACUAACUGGAGGACCGAACCGACUAAUGUUGAAAAAUUAGCGGAUGACUUGUGGCUGGGGGUGAAAGGCCAAUCAAACCGGGAGAUAGCUGGUUCUCCCCGAAAGCUAUUUAGGUAGCGCCUCGUGAAUUCAUCUCCGGGGGUAGAGCACUGUUUCGGCAAGGGGGUCAUCCCGACUUACCAACCCGAUGCAAACUACGAAUA